GUUAACAGAAGCCAAGCAAUUAGAAAAAUUAGCUGAGAGAAGAACACGAGGUGAUCUUGAGGUAGCCGAAAGAAGAAUAAUGGCGGAAACCGUUAGAAAACGAAUCUUCUUCCCCGUGAGGAAGACUAAACAUAUCGGAUUAGCACACGU
rnacentral:lncRNA from 1 species